GUGCUUGCUUUGGCAACACAUAUACUAAAAUUGGAAUGAAACAGAGAUUAGCAUGGUCUCUGUAUAAGAAUUAUUCAGAAAUUCAUGAACUAUUUCAUACUUUG